rnacentral:lncRNA from 1 species
UGACCCACAUUACUGCUUGCAGAAUUUGCAUGCUUUUGAGCAGAAGGGAACAUCAAGCAUGUCGUAUCCCUGAGUUGAAGAGAUGGAGCUUGGAGUAGCAAAAAUCACAGGGCAGAGUACUAGAGAGGAGAGAACUUCAGAGAGAGAGAAAUGUGAUCUUCAGAGGACUCUGUUCAGUCCUAUAUUACUGAUUAGUUUGUGCAUCCAAGAGAAUUGCCUAAACCUGGGGAAGGAACUACUCCUAAAAUGAGAAGAAGCAAUCUUUCUUUUAACUAAUAAGGAUUUGGGAACAGCUCCUCUUUCUGCCAGCCUGAGUGGAAAACUUCACAUUUCAUAGGAACAUUAGGUAGAGAACUAAAAAAAAAUUUAGUCUUGGUAAUGGGGAAAUUAUUAGAUAUAGGCUACACUGCUCUGCUCCUGCAUAACAAAAUAUAAAAUAAAAACAAGACCUGAAAGGAUCAGUGUGUUUCCAAGUAAUUUAGAUACAAAAACAAAAGAAUAUUUAUAGGAAUUUUAAAAAUAUCCAGUAUCCAAUUACACAAUGUCUAGCAUCCAAUAAAAAAUGAUCAGCCAUGUAUAUCAGAAAAACUGAAAGGAUUUCUUCUAAAAUCAGGAAUAAGACAAGGUCAUCCACCAAUCCUAUUCAAUACAGUACUUUCACAGAAAGUUUUAGACAGGUAAAUUAGGCAAGAGAAGGGAAUAAAAGGGAUAUGAACAAGGAAGAAGAGACUAUUUACAUUUAAUAUGAAUCUGUGAUUAGGAGACCCAAAAACCUUCACUAGAAAACUUCUAGAACUGAUAAAAUUCAGCAAAAUAGUAGGAUACAAAGUCAGCAAAAAUCAGUAACUUCUCUAUAUACUAAUAUACUCACUGAAAAGUAAAUCAGUAAAACAAUUCCAUUCAUACUAGCCUCAAAUAUAAAUAAAUAGCUAGGCUCAGUAGUACACACUGUCAUUCCAUCAACCCAGGAGCGUGAGGCAGGAGAAUCACAAAUUCAAGGCCAAUCUCAGUAACUUAAACCCUGUCUCAAUAUAUUAAUAUAAAUUUUAAAAAGGGUUGGGGCUGUAGCUCAGUGGCAGAGCACCCCUGGAUUAAUUCCCCAGUACAAAUGAAUGAAUGGAAUGAACUAGGAAUAAAUCUAACCAAGGAGGUAAAAGACAUCUAUAAUAAAAAUUACAAAACAGUACAAAAGGACAUUGGAAAAGAUGCUGGAAGACAGAAAGACCUCACAUAUUCUUGGAUGAGAAGAAUUAAUAUCAUUAAAAUUUCAGGUGGCACAUUCCUAUAAUCCCAGCAAUUCAGGAGGCUAAGGCAGAAGGAUCACAAGUUUGAGGCCAGUCUCAGCAACUGAGACCCUGCUUCAAAAUCAAAAAGUGAAAAGGGCUGGGAGGUAGCUCAGUGUGCUUGGCCUUGGUUCCAAUUGCUAGCACUACAAAAAAAAAAAAAAUUAAAUUAAUUAAUCAACUAGAUCAUUGUCUCAGGCAAGGGCUGCUAGAGUUGGUAGAUCCCAAAAGUUUGAAGAUAGUCUAUAGCUAUUUGAAACAGGAAAGAAUUCUCUUGUCUCUAUUUAUAGAAGCUGUUAAA